rnacentral:lncRNA from 11 species
AUGCACAGCCCAAAGGUUUAUAAAACUCCCAAGAGCACCCACUCACCAACUGAUGCCAGUACUCCGAUCAGCCCAGCCACGGCGCCGCCAAGGUUUUUCUCCACUGUCGUCAAAAGCAAGGAUCGCUGCGUGAUGAAGAUAGACACAACAUGUUGGCCUACCCAGGAAGGAUCAUUCUCAGGACUUAGUACCUUCACCACCGCCACUGAGAAAGGGAAGAGUGUGGAGCUGCCUUCUGCUGAUUUCCCAGAACUUGAUGACUCCUUGGUAGCCGACAUUCAGUCACUAGUUUGUAGGGGUCAGAAAAAAACAGAGAAUAAGCUUCCUUCCAUUCCACAGAGAGGAGUUCCUGAGCAAGGCGAUUCAAAAGAGCAAGAGCCAGAAGAAAUAACCCUGAACAAAUGCAAAGCUGAUUGCAGCCUCUGCAUCGACGAGACUUCAUGCCUCGAAGAAGAGACGGAAAGGGCUCAUUCAAGCCUAGACAACAUUUUGGAGUUAGUCCUCGGGCCGACUGCCGACAGCCGCAGCUCUCGCGAAAAGCCUCCGGACCCUGUCAAGAGGAGGCCAAGCCACACAGACCUCAGAAAUAUCGAGAUGAAGGGAGGCGUGGAAGAUAGCUUCAGUGAAUCUGAGGGUUCCACCGAGAAUGCCGAAGGUGUUUCUUGAGCAAUAAAAAGACAUCCUGAACCGUGCUUAUUAGUUAAGUGUUGUAUGUUUCUCAGCUUGAAAAUAUAAUGUAUUUUACAUUCACUAAACAUUGGCUGGGCAAGCCGAUAUUUCUGCCACACUCCAGUUUGCAUCAGUGUUUUUGGCAUGUGUUAGACCGGGAUGUUUUCUGACAUGUGUUAGGCUGGGAUCCAAAGAACUACGUGAAUAGCUCCGUGUUCUCAAGUACCAUUUCUGAAAAACAGCAGCCCUUUCCACUGAGAAACAUUGCAAAUGUGUUUUUGAAAGGAAGACGUCUUCCUAUCCAAUAUACUAAGAGAUAUGUCUAACGGUUCUGUAAACUUACGGUUUCUCAAAGGUUUAAGAAACAAUGAAAACCAUUCUGAUCCAUGGUACGAAUUGUGCAAAAGAGAAACAUUUCCCUGGUUCUCUUUAUUUACAGUUUUAAUUUUCUUCUAUGUGUUGUCGAAGGCUUUCAUGGCCGGGAUCACAGGGUUGUUGUGUGUUUUCCGGGCUGUAUGGCCAUGUUCCAGAAGUAUUCUCUCCUGAUGUUUCAUAUACCUCACAACCUCUGAGGAUGCCUGCCAUAGAUGUGGGUGAAACGUCAGGAGAGAAUGCUUCUGGAACAUCCAGAAAACACACAACAACCCUUUUCUUCUAUGUGUUUGCAGCAGGGCUCUUAUUUUCCAGUUGCACUUAAAGAAAAGCUGCUCUUGGUCCUCACAGUAUGAGGAGCCUGGGAUGUUUGUGUACAUAUAUUGUUGUAAAAGUUAUGUUACAUUUAAAAGAUUCUCCCCAAAAUAAAGCAUUGCUUCACAUGCCAGUGUGCAUGUCCUUGGCGCUUGUUGCACGGUUCCGUCUUCGGCCUCAAAUCCCAGAGAAGCAGUCAACGGGAGCAGCCGCAGGAGUCUUCUCCAUUCAG